rnacentral:lncRNA from 1 species
UUUUCAAUAGAAAAUAGAGCUUGUUGAGGUAUGAUGGGAUUUCCGCCCACUGUGUUAGGCUGUUGGAAUGAAAACAUUCUUAAUGCUUCACAACGAUAUACAUUAAGAAUCUUCAAGGAAGGAGGGCACUCUAAAACAUACUUUCCCCGAUAGAAGCUCUUAAGGUUUGUCAAACGAUAUAGUUUCAAUGUAUUCAGUUGGGGAAAAUUAAAAUUGAUUUCCAUUGAUCCUUCUUCCAUUUCUACAAUUUCCUCAACUCCGCAAGACGUUAUAUCAAGCAUUUCAAGAUGUCUAAGAUCUUGGCAUAGUGACAAUGGAAAGAUAUAUAGCAAGCUUUGGCACAUAGAAAUAUCCACCUUGCAUAAGUUUCCAAAGCUGAUAAUUUCAUGAGGAUCCUCAUUCCAUAUGUGCUUCAAUUUUGGCAAACUAGAUAAAGUCAAACUUUUCAACAGAGUGAUUUGUUUNNNNNNNNNNNNNNNNNNNNNNNNNNNNNNNNNNACACUGCUUCUAACGAGUCACAGUCUGUUACUUUUAAAUCUUCCAAUCCAUGCAGCGCUUGUAUUAUAUUUGAUGGUAAAAGUAUAUGUGAUAAAAAAUCACAUUUUUGCACUGUUAGGGACUUGAGAUUGCAAAACACAUUGUGAUUAAGUUGGCCAUACCACAAAUCUUUUAGCUCCGGGUAGUCAGAUAAGGCUAAACAGUUGAAUUUAUGAAAUGCAACCUGUUCAAACAAAUUAAUAUAUCAUGAGACAAAUAAAAAAUGCUUACAAGCAAUAAUCAAUUACUUGUAAUAAUAUUGUAGUAGACAAUUUUCCAACUUCAAAACGACCAUGAACUUAAAUGAGUGAUGACAAAGAUUUCAGAAUAAAAGACAACAAAAGAAUAACUGUGUGUCAGGGCAUAGUGUGUUAUUGCUGAAACUAGUUCAAAGAUCAUUUCAAAAUUACCCUCUACACACGUAAGACUAUCACGUGACUUGUUCAAACACCCACUGAUUAAACACUUAUUUGUAUUUUAGAUUUAGUUGAUUUAUUCAUUAACCAAAAACCACAGUAAACAAAAGCAUACNNNNNNNNNNNNNNNNNNNNNNNNNNNNNNNNNNNNNNNNNNNNNCAUUGAGGUCGCCUUCCCAGUGGUUUUCUUCAUCAAAUUGUACAUUUUGAAGAAUUGUUGUGUUGGUCACACCAAAUGAAAAAUGUUCCAUUCGAGGGCAUCCUUUGACGACUACAACUUCCAGCAACGGAAACAUAACAGGGCACGUGCAUGAGCAAAAGAGACAGAGUUUUGGUAAAGCAACAAGUUCUAGAUAUUGUAAACUGGAAAAUUCAAUCUUAUUCAUCUCAUCUUCUUCUUUUCCAUCGACUACAUCCUCAAGACAAUUACACAUUUUAAUCUUCAUGGUUUCAAGUUUGACAAGACUCUUUGCUGUUGAGUAUGUUAUCAAAUUUAUCAAACCAUUGCAAUUAGUUACCUCCAAGUAGGUCAAGUAAUUGAAGGUAACAGAAGAAGGCACCAAUUUCAUAAGACUGGAACAGUGCUGAACAUCAAUGCUUUCAAGAAAAUGCAGAACAGGGUCCAUUUGAAGUCCUUCUUUGCAUAUACAUUGAAGCUUGUCCAUGUGCCAUAAUUCCAACUCUUUGAGUCGCGGGAUAAUUUGAGUUUCCUUUUCCGUACUUAUGGGUUGUUCGCCUUGAAAUAUCUCCCUGAAGGAACUCCAUUGGACUAGCAUGCUUUCUAAAUUAGGAACAUUUUUCAAGAACCAAUAUGGAAAAUUAGCUUCUUCAUUGUAGCAUUCGCCCACACCAAUUUUUUUGACUUUGUUGAAUUGAACCCCUGAAUAUUGGCUAUGCAAUAUCAUGUCAAAAUAUUUGGCAUUCAUGUAGAAAUUCUCCACAGUGGAAAGUACCUAUUGCAAAACUUAAAUUAGAACAAAAGAAAUAUAUUUUCCUUCUCGAUUUUUGAAACAAUUAUUAACAAAUCAAAACCAAUUUAUUAGCCUCAACCAAUAUAAAAGACAAGUUGAAUAAUUUGUCAUAAAGUUAAUAACAAAUUUAAACAAAUCAAUAUUUGCGCAUGUAAAAUUUAUAUUUCAUGUUACUCUUACCUCUUCAAUCACAAACAAAGGUUGAUAUGUUGAGAUAUUGAGCUCAUCAUUUUUGGCACUUAAUUGGUGUUUCAAUGGCUCUGCCUUAAAUAGCUCAAUUUUUGGACAUCCGAAAAAGUUGAUUGUAUUCAAUGAUUUACAUUGAAGAGAAUGGACUCCGCCAAAGAAUGUCUUUAGUUUGGCCAAAUAAUGAAGUCUAAUGGAUGUUAAAUUAGGAAACACAAAUUCAACUAUCUCAUCCACUCCUUCCUCCCUGCCAACAAUUUCUUCAAUCCCACAUGAAGUCACUACAAGUGUUUGAAUUUGGUUCAUAUCUCUAGCUACUGAGAGCGGAAAGAGGCUUUUCAAACUUGGGCACUCCUCAACAGACACUUCAAUUAAAUUUUGAAACCCCAUAGUGCUAUGUUGGUCCUCCUUCCAUACAUGCUUCAGUUUUGGAAGAUUAGAUAGUGUUAAUUUCUUCAAUUGAGUAGAAUUCUCCACAAGAAUUUCUUUUUCAAAUUCACCACCUUUCAUAUCAAAAACUGCUUCUAAUGAAUCACAAUCUGUGAUAUCUAAUUCUUCCAAGUUCAUUAGCACUUCUAGCAAAUUUGGUUGAAAGAGAACCUCAGAUAAAAAAUCACAUCUGUGAACCACUAGAUACUUCAGACUCCUAAAUAGAUUGUGCUGAGGUUGACCAUACCACAAUUCUUUCAACUCUGGAUAUUCAGCCAGUUUUAAAUGCUUAAAACCACCAAAUGCCAUCUGUGAAAACAGUUGUACCAAGAUAGUUCAAACAAAAGUAAUAUUGAUAUUGAUAAUGUACUUGUUAGAACUUGAGUAAGAGAAUGAGGGAAAUUAACUAUGAAAAGAAUGAGGGAAAUUGAGAGAGUAAAGGGAGAAUUAUUAUUGAUCAAGGUUGUGUUGAAAUUACAAUGACUAAUGUGCUUAUAUACACAUUCAAUCUAACUAACUAUGGUUACUCUAACUAACUCAAUAGGUAGUUACUUACAACACAAGUAACAAACUAACAUAAAUUGUAACUAACUUCUAAACUUGAAUUAUUCCUUCAAUACUCCCCCUUAAUUCAAGUUCUACAUGCUAAACACAUUAAGCAUUUUCCUCAUGUCUUUGAACUUGUCAAUCUUCAAUGGCUUGGUAAGCACAUCAGUUAUCUGAUUCUCUGUAUUGCAGUAGCUAAGCUUGAUCCUCCCUUUAGUGACUUGGUCUCUCAAAAAAUGAAACUUAGUUUCAAUAUGCUUGCUUCUCCCAUGAGCUAUGGGAUUCUUGGCCAGGUUUAUGGCUGAUUUGUUGUCAACCAUAAGCUCUGCUCCAUCUUCAACAUCUAUUCUCAUUUCCUGCAGUAGAGAUUGCAACCAUAUGCCUUGACAGGCUGCAUUGCAGGCAGAUAUGUACUCAGCUUCACAAGUUGACAGUGCUACUACAUUUUGCUUUUUAGAGCUCCAUGAAAUAGGGCAAUCAAAUAGUGUGAAUACAUAUCCCAUAGUACUUUUCCUUGCUACUUUGUCACCUGACCAAUUAGAGUCACUAUAUCCAAUUAGCUUGCCUUUCUUUCCAUCUGAAUUUGGAUAUAGUAUGUCAUACUCCAUUGUGCCCUGCAAGUACCUCAGUAUUCUCUUCACUGCUUGCAUAUGAGAUAGUUUAGGUGUUUGCAUGAACCUACUGACUAUCCCUACACUGUGACAAAUAUCAGGCCUUGAAUUGCAGGCAUAUCUCAAGCUUCCAACCAUCUGCUUAUACAAUGUGCUAUUGACAUUGCUGCCUUAAUCAUCAUUACUUAAGCUUGAAGUAGUUUCCAUUAGUGUGUAGGCUGGGUUGCAAUUCAUCAAGUUGAAUCUUUUCAAUAUGUCUGAGACAUAUUUUCUCUAGUGAAUCAACAUUCCCUCUUUAGUUUUAGUGAAUUCCAAUCCAAGGAAGUAUUUUAGGCCUCCCAGAUUGGUCAUUUCAAACUCUGAGUUCAUCUGACUUGUCAAUCUUUCAAUUUCUCUUUUGUCACUGCCAGUUAUCAAUAAAUCAUCCACAUAUAAGCACAUUAUGCAGAGUUUACUCUGAGUUGAGCCUUUCACAUAUAUUCCAUGUUCAACUGUGCACUUUGAAUAUCCAAUUUUGUUGAGAAAUUCAUCUAUCCACAUAUUCCAAGCUCUAGGUGCCUGUCUCAGGCCAUAUAGUGCUUUAUUCAGCUUCAAUACAUGAUCCUCCUUUCCCUUAAUUGUGAAGCCUUGAGGUUGUUCAACAUAUACUUCCUCCUCAAGUUUACCAUUGAGAAAUGCAGACUUGACAUCAAGUUGAACAAACUCCCAUCUGAAGUGAUUAGCUAUUGCUACCACCAAUCUUACAGUUUCAAUUCUUGCUACUGGUGCAAAGAUUUCUUUGAAAUCAAUUCCCUGCUUCUGGAUGAAUCCUUUUUCUACCAAUCGUGCUUUAUACUUUGCUAUAGUUCCAUCAGACAAAUGUUUGAGCUUGUAAAUCCAUUUGACUGCAAUUGGUUUCUUACCAGUAGGCAAUUGAGUUAUACUUCAUGUAUCAUUCUUCUCAAUUGAAGCAAUUUCUUCUGUCAUUGCUUGUCUCCAUUCUUCACGUUUUGAAGCUUCAGCAUAUGUCAAGGGUUCAGUAUCAACAAAUAGUGUUAGAUGCACUAUGUCACCAUCUGGUGUAACCAUAUCAUCACUGAUCCUUUCAUAACCUUGUAGAGUUCUAUUUGGAACAAUUGGUCUUUCUGACCUCCUUAGUACCACUGGUUCAUUGUUUGGAGUUGUAGGUAUUGGCACAGUUGCUUCUUCAGCUGCUUGCUCAUCAAGCAACUCAAAUGGUACAUAGUUUCCAUCAUCUGAUGUAGUAUUGUUCCAAUCCCAACAUUUAUCUUCUUCAAAAUUUACAUCCCUGCUAGCAGUGAUCUUUUUUGUAAUGAGAUUGUUCAAUUUGUAGGCACUUGCAGUGUGAUACCCUACUAGUAUCAUUGCUUCACUCUUGUCAUCAAGCUUCUUCCUCCUUUGAUCUGGUAUGUGUCUGUAGCAUAAGCAGCCAAAUACCCUUAAGUGCUUCACUGAGGGUGUGUGCCUCGACCAAAUUGCUUCUGGUACUUUCUGCAAUUUCUUGGUUGGGCUUCUAUUCAUAACAUAGCACGCAGUUGAUACAGCUUCGCCCCAAAAGGUGUGAGGCAGAUUCUUCUCUUUUAACAUACAUCUGGUCAUGUUCAUGGUAGUUCUAUUCCUCCUUUCAGCCAUUCCAUUGUCUUGAGGAGUGUAUGCAGCUAUUAUUUCAUGUUGAAUUCCAUUUUCUGAGCAAAAUGCUUUGAAUUCAUGUGAGGUGUAUUCACCACCACCAUCACUUCUUAGAAUCUUAAUCCUUUUUUCUGAUUGCUUUUCAACUAACAGUUUGAAUGACUUAAAUUUCUGAAACACUUCAUCUUUGCUCUUCAUUAACUGAAUCCACAUCAUUCUACUGAAUUCAUCAAUGAAUGAUACAAAGUACUUGUUUCCUCCUAAAGAUAGUGUGUCAAAUGGACCACAUACAUUUGUAUAUACUACAUCAAGUAAUUGCCUAGCUCUCAUUGCAAUAUCCUUGACAAAAGACUUUCUGGCCUGCUUGCCUAACAAGCAAUGUUGACAUAUAUCUCUAGGGAUAUUAAUUGCAGGUAAUCCACUAACCAGUUCAUUGUUUUGCAGAUAACUCAAACUUUUAAAGUUGAGAUGACCAUACCUCAGAUGCCAUAACCAUGCUUGGUCAUUGAUCUUUACUGUAGCCAGACAUUGGGAUUGAUUUGCAGUGAUGCUAACUUGAAAUGUUCUAUUUUGAGAGAGAGGAGCUCUCAGAAUAGUGUUGUUCUGAGAAUCAUAUACUUCCAUGAUGUUAUUCUCCAUAUGCAUAAUGAAUCCCUUCUCUAGUAGCUGCCCCAUACUUAGUAAAUUUGUUUUCAUGUCUGGUACAUAUAGAACACCAGUGAUGAUUGCUUGAUUUCCUUUCUUGCCUUUGAUCAACACAUCACCUACUCCUUCAGCUGGAAUUGUUCUAUUGUCUGCAAACCUUAUCUUAGUUUUUGGUGAACUGUUGAAGUUGAUGAGCCAAUCUCUAUGGUUUGUCAUGUGAUUGUUGCAACCUGUGUCAAGAUACCAAUGUUCCUGAUGAAUUUCAUCAUCUGUAGUGGUUGCCAUGAGCAACGUUGGAUCAACCUCUGAGUCACUAUCUUCCUGAGCAAUAUGUGCUUCAGCUUUAUUCUUUCCUCCAUACCUUGGAAUCUUCUUGGCUCUGCAAUCUUUUGCAAAGUGACCAUACCUCUGACAAUUGUAGCAUUGAAUCUUUUUCAGAUUCACUUUUCCCUUCUUUUCUUGAUUUCAACAAUUAUUCUGAUUUGAUGAUUCUCCUUGAUCACUGUUCUUCUUUGAAGUAUCUUGGUGAUUCCUUUCUUUAUGAACCUUAUCUUUCCCUUUCCAUUUACCACUGCCUUUCUUAAUUGCAUGAGCUUGUAGUGCCUGAUAUGCAGCCCUAUCUUUCUGUCUUUCAUUGAGUCUUUGAUCAUGUGAUUCCAAAGAACAUUGCAGUUCAUCCAAUGUCAUGGUACUUCUAUAUUUGGAUUCCAUGAUUGCAACAGUAAUGUAAUCAAAUUUUGGAGCUAGGGUUCGUAUUACCUUUUCAACAAUAGCUGCAUCAGCCAAUGUUUCUCCAUAGCUUCUUAUCUGAUUUGCAAUAUUGGUGAUCCUGUUGAAGUAGGUAGUGAUUGUUUCAUUAUCUUCUAUCUGAAGCAGUUCAAACUUUCUCUUCCAUGUCUGCAAUCGAACUUUCUUCAAUUUGUCAUUCCCUUCAUGACACUUAGCAAGAAUGUCCCAACACUCUUUUGCAGAUCCUGCAUUCUCAAUCUUCUGAUAGUUUAUCACAUCAACACAUUGAUGGAUAAAGAAUAUAGCCUUGAAGUCUUUCUUCUUGGAAUUUCUGUGUGCAGUCCUUUAAUUCUCAUUAGCAUCUGCUGGUAGUGGAGUCACACCAGUUUCUACCACAUCUUGCACUUCUUGAAAGCCAAAGAUGACUUUCAUCUGAUUGUUCCAUCUAUCCCAGUUGGAACCAUCAAGAAUUGGUAGUUUUCCUCCAAAAUUGUUGCUCAAAGUUUCCAAUUGGCAUGUCAUCUUCAAGUCUCUACUACACAGUGAUCUUCUUGAAUAUUUAAUGCCAAGAACCUUGAGGCUCUAGAUACCAGUUGUUAGAACUUGAGUAAGAGAAUGAGGGAAAUUAACUAUGAAAAGAAUGAGGGAAAUUGAGAGAGUAAAGGGAGAAUUAUUAUUGAUCAAGGUUGUGUUGAAAUUACAAUGACUAAUGUGCUUAUAUACACAUUCAAUCUAACUAACUAUGGUUACUCUAACUAACUCAAUAGAUAGUUACUUACCACACAAGUAACAAACUAACAUAAAUUGUAACUGUUGGAGUUUUAUGUUGGCCUCAUUUUUCUAAAAAAAUGUCCAAGAUAGAUGUGGAACUACAUGCUUCCAGCAUCCAGUACAAGCAAGAUGUUGUAUAGAAUGUUUCAACAUUGGAUACUACAUCCAGUGGGCCGGGCCUAUUACGUUGUGAUCUCGCGCCUUUUUAUAUUUAUGGAAUCCACGUGAUAUUUACUUGUGCGCCAAGUAGCGCUGUUUCUUAUUGUCCAGAAGGCGGUCUUGACCUAGUUUUGUUUCUGAUCAAAUCAUCCAUUUAAGGAAACAAAACAUUUGUUCGAAGAAUAUUCCUUGAAUGAACUUUUGAUCCUGCUGAGUUUUCGAAGCCCAAUUCAAGACAUAGCCCAUGCUAGCGCAGGUUAUUUAAAGGAAGCUGACACCAUUGUACAAAUCACUGAAACCGUAUUUGAGUUUUACAAAGCGUGAGUUUAGGGUUUUAGUGUUGUGUCUUUGUGUUCCUAUUCUUGUGUUACCUUGAUGCAAGAUUAAGAACUGUGUGUUAUUGUGUUGUAAUAUCUCUGGAGCUUCUAAGCAAUGAGAUAGUGUGUGUGAACCAUUCCUAAGCUUUGAAGCACGGAAUUGGUGAGUGUUUUAUGAAGUGUGUCUUCACCAUUUAAAAGUAAAAGUGUUCGAUCACAGUGGCUGUGGUCAAGAGGAGGUGAGCGGAGGUUCUCAUACCUAGGUGUGUCUUAGGUAGAAUAUAUCACGGGUAGUGAUUAGGUGAGAAGUCAUAAACGGGUUGUUUAUUGAGGGCUUUGAACUAAUACUAUCGUCUAUCAUAGUGGAUUCACUUCUAGAUUGGUAUCCCCUAGAGUAGGCUUAUGCUGAACUGGGUUAACAAAUAACUGUGUUAUUUAGUUUCCUGUCAGUUACGUUUAUCUUGUUGUUCAUUUAGUAUUGCGCUGUCAGAUGUUGGAUCACCGGAUCAAGCAUUGAAACUGUAUUACAGUGGUGAAGCAUCAGGUUCAACAUCGAAAUACUAGUGUGCCAGAAUUUCAAUAUAAGUAACUUCUAAACUUGAAUUAUUCCUUCAAUAGUACUUACCAAAUCUAUAUCUAUAUACAUAGUAAAAUUCUUUGAAAAUUUGAAAUACUCUCCCUAACGUAAAUGUUAUAUAUACUUGUUAAUUAUUAGUAGUUGAGGUAGUAGUGAUAGUUUAGAAAAUAGUUAGAUUGUGUAGAAUGCUUAUGUUGUGAAUUCUUUAUUAUCACACCAAUAAUUUUGAUGUGUGGAGCAAAUCGAAUAAGCAAUCAAAACGUGGAAAUAGCAAUAAUAAUCACGAACAAAAGAUAAGCAAAAAAACUGUAAAGAACACGAAGCAAUUGUUUACCUAGUUCAGUCAAAACCGACCUACUAUGGGGGAGAGAGCCACUCUCUGUUCCACUAUCAAUGAAAAGCUUGAUUACAACGAGAUUCAAUACAAAAGAGUCGCAAGAAUUAGACUUCAACCCUAAUUCUACCCUUUUCCCAAAUCUCUUCCCGUGACCAAGAGAUUUCAAUGAUAAGUGAUUACAAGAUGAAAGAAUCAACACCCAAAACCUAGAGAUGAACAAAGAGUAACCCUCUUAACCCUAGCUGUCGUUUUGGUCAAAGAAACUCUCAAAAUCCUGUUACUAAUAUCAGAAAAACGUGACAUAUAUAUAAGUCUGCGAAAUUUUCGCUCGGGGCCCCAAAUCUCACGCCUGGGGCGUGAAAACAGCAGGGACCCCCUUUUCCUGCUUCAAAUUUCGCCCAGGGCACCAGAUUUUUGCCCGGGGCGCUAAAACAGCAGCUUUGCUGUUUUUCCAUGUUUUCAAGGCAAUUUGCAACAGCUUAGUUGAUAGUUGAAUAGUAGUAGCAAGUAGUGUGAGGAUCACUUAGAGCAAGAAUAUAUUGUAUUGCUCUCCACUUGGAUACAUUACAAAUGAGCCAUGGUUACAUAUUUAUAGAUGUGGAUGGAAUAUAUUGUACUUACUUAUUCUACUAACUACUCAAGUAAUCUAGAAAGUUCUACAAAUUUACAAUAUCACUUAAUAACUACUAAUUAUUCUACAACUUACUAUUAGUUAUUACUCCAAUGUUUAUCUAAACUGUCACUUUAGGAACAUGGGAUUUUGUAUACUCUAACUAACUAACCGAUGAAAAUUUAAUUUCUUAAUCCAUAGUUAAUUUCAAAGUCACCGUCCAAUCAUGCACCAAAUUAAUAUUGUAAGCCUUGGUAAUUUGAGCAUUUCUUACUUCUCUGCUUUUUUUAAUUAUUUGUGUGUGUGCUCAAACAUUUUUCAUUCAGGGUUAUAUCCAGGUAAGUGUUCAGGAUAAUUAUGUGAAUAAUAAGUAAACAAUUUUCAUAAUUAAAAAUGACAAUUGUGUACCUUUUCUAAGAACAAUUGUUCAAUAGUUGUGUUAAGAUCACCUUUCCAUCUCAUCUCUCCUUCUUCUACUUCAACUUCUGUCAGGUAUGGUGCUACUGUGACUCCAGAUGAGAAUAUCUUCAUUUGAGGGCACCCUUCAACAAUGAAACGUAAGAAAGAUGGGAAUAUGAAUGUUUGUUUCCCAUGACAGAAGCUUCUAAAACUUGGCAAAGAAGACAAUUCCAAGUAUUCCAAGUUUUCAAAUAUGAUGUUUUCCUCUGCUUUUUCUUCAUCAAUCUGAUUCACAACAUCCAACAUCUUCUCACAAUUCAUUAUUAUUAAUGUUGUGAGUUGUACAAGACUUUUAGCUGUUGAGGAUGUUAUUAAAUAAGUAAGCUCUUUGCAAUUCUCCACAUUCAAAAUUGUUAAAUUUGUGAAAGAUGUUGAUGAUGGUACCAAGUUUAUCAAACUUGGACAACUUGAUACAUACAACCCAUCAAGAUAUUGCAGCAGAGGAUGAUCCAAUGAAAAGUCUUCCUGCCAGAUGUGCUUGAGAUUUUCCAAUUCAUAAAGGUUCAAUAUACUUAUUUGAUCUGAGAUCUGCGUGCUGAGAUGACCAUUACUAGGGAACAAUGUUUCAAAAGAACUAUUACGCACUUGAAAUGUUUUAAGAUGUGGAAAUGUGGUAAAGAAAUCAUUCAGAAAAAUAGUUGGAGUUUCUUGCAAGCAUUGCAAACGAAGAAAUUUAACUUUAUGAAAGACAUUUUCUUGAUUCAAUAUCUCCAUCACAUCCGGGCCAUUUAUUGCCAAUUCCUCCAGGUUGGGGCUCAACUGGAAAACAAAUUAAUACUAGUUUAUGAGGUAAAUUAAUCAAUUAAAUUAAACAUUCAAAAUUAAUACUAGUUUAUGAGGUUGGGGCUAAACUGAGAGGGAAAAAAAAGUAUGGUUGGAUUUACCUUUUCAAUAGAAAAUAGAGCUUGUUGAGGUAUGAUGGGAUUUCCGCCUGCUGCGUUAGGCUGUUGGAAUGAAAACAUUCUUAAUGCUCCACAACGAUAUACAUUAAAAAUCUUCAAGGAAGGAGGGCACUCUAAAACAUACUUUCCCCGAUAGAAGCUCUUAAGGUUUGUCAAACGACAUAGUUCCAAUACAUUCAGUUGGGGAAAAUUAAAAUUGAUUUCCAUUGAUCCUUCUUUCAUUUCUACAAUUUUCUCAACUCCGCAAGACUUUAUAUCAAGAAUUUCAAGAUGUCCAAGAUCUUGGCAUAGUGACAAUGGAAAGAUAUAUAGCAAGCUUUGACACAUAGAAACAUCCACCUUGCAUAAGUUUCCAAAGCUGAUAAUUUCAUGAGGAUCCUCAUUCCAUAUGUGCUUCAAUUUUGGCAAACUAGAUAAAGUCAAACUUUUCAACAGAGUGAUUUGUUUUAUCAAUAUUUCUCUAGACUUCAUACCUUUCACAUCAAACACUGCUUCUAACGAGUCACAGUCUGUUACUUUUAAAUCUUCCAAUCCAUGCAGCGCUUGUAUUAUAUUUGAUGGUAAAAGUACAUGUGAUAAAAAAUCACAUCUUUCCACUACUAGGGAUUUCAGAUUGCAAAACACAUCGUGAUUAAGUUGGCCAUACCACAAAUCUUUUAGCUCAGGGUAGUCAGAUAAGGCUAAACAGUUAAAUUUACGAAAUGCAACCUGUUCAGUCAAAUUAAUUAACAUAUCAAGAGGCAUAUCAAAAUUGGUUUUAACCAAUAUUUAAUCAUGUGUAAUAAUAUUGUAAACUACAAUUAUUCAUCUUCAAAAGGUUCAUGAUCUAGAUAGAUAGUCUUUAACCUACAAUUUAUUUCAUUUGUAAGAAGAAUUUUUUUAUUGGUACCACAAAAUGAUUCUAACAGAGAUAUAUGCUUAAAUUAACAAAAAGUAAAUAAGCCAGCCAGGAAUUAGGAAAAUAAAAUUAAAUAUGAAAAUUAUAUUUCAUAGAAUAAGAACAAAAUACACAAAGGGAAAGAACAUUUUCAGAACAAUGAAUAAGAGAAAGAACAAUCAAUCCGUUACCGGUACACAUAUGGUACUCGUAUCGUAGGUACCAUUCUCUAUCCAUUUUUGCUUGGUUGAUAUGUUGUGGGAAAAUCACGGAAAGUAUUUUUAUUUUUUAUUGCAUUUCAAUUCCAUCUCUUAAUUUUGAUGAAAAUAAUGCAAAUAUUGGACAAAACAAAAUUAGCCAUAUUUCGUACCCAUAACCGUACUCGGACGGUCGGACCUAUGCAUCAUAGUGAAUAGCCAAUUUCCCUUUAAUUUUAUAGUAGAAUGAAGAUUUGUGCUAUGUAUCUCUUUUGCAAUAUAUUUUUAACGAUGUGGAUUAAAAAUCAACAAAAAAAACAAGGGUAAAUCAUGAUAUUGUUACACAAAAAUUAAAUUGGUAAAUCAAGCAUACCUUAUCUUCAAAUAUGUUGGUUAUUGUAUCAUUUAGGNNNNNNNNNNNNNNNNNNNNNNNNNNNNNNNNNNNNNNNNNNNNNNNNNNNNNNNNNNNNNNNNNNNNNNNNNNNNNNNNNAAAAAAUCUUCAUGCGAGGACAUUCCCUCACAAUUACUUCCUUCAACAUUGGAAACUUCAAGAAGCACUUACUAGAACAAAAUUUGUUGAGGCUUGGCAAACAAUCCAACAUCAAUAAUUUUAAACUAAUAAAUGCAAUGCCAACAUUUUCCUCUCCAGUAAUUAUUUCUUCAAGUGAAUUACAGUCUUUUACCUUCAGCCAAAUGAGCUUGUGCAAACUUUGUGCCGUAGGAGAUGUAAUUAAUUUUUUUAACCCGUUGCAAUUUGUUAUCUCCAGAUAUUCCAGAUGAUUAAGCGUGGCAGAAGCAGGUAACAAACUUACCAAACUGGAACAAAACAUAACUUCUAAGUAUUCAAGGAGCUCAAGAACCGGGUCAAUUUUGAAUCCUUCUUCACAUAUAUGUUGAAGUUUUUGUAACUCAUACAAAGUGAGCCUUUUGAGCCGUGGGUAAGUCUUCUUCUCACUUAUCUGUCCUUCAUCUUGAAAUAUUUUCUUGAAGCAACUCCAUUCAACAUAUAGUUCCUCAAGAGUGUGCACAUUUUGAAGAAACCAAUAAGGAAAUGUAGCAUCUUCAAUAUUAUGAUAGGACAAAUGAAGAUCUCUCAUUUUGGUGAAUAGGGCACUUGAGUUUUGAGCUUGCAAUAUCACGUUAGCUUCAUUGUUAUUUAUUCUCAACAUCUUCAAAUUUGGAAUAACCUAAAAUACAUAUAAAGAACAAUUUAAAAGAAUUUAGACAUUUAAUAUUGCCUCAAAAAGUAAUUACGUUUGACUCAAAUUUGCACUCCAUAUUUUUUUUAUUGUAGCCUUGAAGGCAACUUUUUGAUUCAAUAAAAAUAGAGAUUUUUCUCAAGUUUGGUGGAUUCCAAAUUAUUCCUUCUGGUGGAUUCCGGAAGUCUAGUGGAUUCUAGAUUAGUUACUUUUUUCUGGUGGAUUCCGGAAAUCUGGUGGAUUCCAGAGCUUUUAUCUAAUAGGAUUAGCGCUUGCUUUUCAUUCACGCUUCCGUACUGCGUCACUUCUACUCAUAAGAAAACGUCCCUUUAUAACUUAAAAGUAAUAGUUUAUCUCUAAAAUGAAUAAGAGUGAAUAUAUCUCUUAAAUUUUAUCCAGUUAACAUCAUAGUACACUUUAAAUGAAAUUAAUGGUGAAUAUAUACUUAUUUCUCACUUUAAAGAACCUUAUCAUUGUCAACUUUAUUGUUAAACCACAACUGAGAAUCUCCCUUAUCUAUAUUUGUUGUUGUGCUUUUGGUUUUGGUUGGAUUUGUGGUGAUGAAGAUAAUGAUUGUGUUGGAGGAAGAGAGAUAGAUAGAAAGAGUUUGUGUUGGAGGAAGAGAGAUAGAAGGAAAGGUUUUGUGAAAUGGAAGAAGAGGAAGAAAUGGAAAAGAAAAAAAAAAGUAUUGUCAUUUUGAUCCUUCGCCAUAUCAUCAGAUCACUUGUCCAACUAAUGUCUACUCAGUGUGCCACGUGUCUCUAACAGGGACGAAUCUAUGUUAAGGCCAAGUAUGGCCAUGGCCACACCAAAUUUUUCAAUUUUUUUGUGUGUAGUUAAAUAUAUUUGGUCUCCUGAGCUUAACUCAGUUGGUUGAGACAUCGCAUAUAUUAUUUAUGAGCCGGAGUUCGAACUUCGGACACUCUACUAUUAAGAAAACUUGUAUUUUUGAAUGAUUAUUUCGUAGGUAUGUUUUAAAAAAAGUUCAUCUAGAAAAAAAAAGAACACAAAAUAUUUGAUUUCUAGGUCAUAAUUUUCAUUACUUUUAUUUUAAAAAGUCAUAUUUAAAUACAUAUCAUGUCAAAAAAUGAUAAAUAAAAGAGAAAUACAAUUAUUUAGUGUUGUAAAUUUCCAUUUGCAUAAGUUUAAUGUUAAAUAUAGUGAAGAGAAUACUAAACUUUUAAUAUUUUGUAGUUUUUCUUCGGUCAAGGACCAGAAUAACGGCGAGUUACACAUUGAGAGACUAAAAUGAGUGUUUCCCCAAAAAAGAAUAUAUAUUUUACUCAAACUUUUUUUUUUUGACAAAAUAUUUUACUCAAACUUAAAGAUCUUUAAACAUAAUAAUUAUCAUUUUUAAGGAAAAAACAAAAUAGAAUGAAAUCAUAAAACCAAAAAAAUGAAUGAAAUCAUAAAAAAUGAAUGAAAUCAUGUAACCAAAAAAAAUGAAUGAAAUCAUAAAAAAUGAAAAGAUGGAAUACACACACUAUACGUGGUGAUGGACUGACAGUGAGGAGAAGACGAGGAUUUGAGGAGAUAGUGGACUUCUAAACUUUCAACUGUUGUGUCAAAAAAAAAAAACUUUCAACUGUUUCUUGUUUUUUCUUGUUUUUUUACUCGUCAUAAAUAGUUUCGAAUUUUACAAUUGAAUACAUCUAUAUGUAAAUUUAUAUGGUAUGCAUACCUCUUCGACAAUGAAAAGUGGUUGUGGCCUUAAAACGGAGAGUUGGUCAUCUUGAAAAUUGGAGCUUCUUGUAGAUAGAGUUCUGAACAAAUUCAACUUUGAACAAUUGGCAACAUCAAUUUCCUUCAAAGAUGAACAUGCUAGGGUAUGCUCUUUAGCAUAGAAACCCUUGAGUUUAUAUAAGUUCCAAAGCAAUAAAAUACUUAGUUGAUUAAACUCAAAUGUGGGAGCUGCACUCACUCCAAAUUCUUUCUCUUUCUCCUCUGCAACAAUUUCCUUCAUGUUUCCACAAUUUUCUAUAUGAAGUUCUUGGAGAUGUGAACAACAAGUGGCUAUAGAAAGUGGUAAUAGAUACUCCAAGCUUUCACAGUUUGUAAGUUUUACAAAUAUAAGAAUUUGAAAACUAAGAAUUAUGUGAAGAUCCCCACUCCAUAUAUUUUUCAGUUUUGGCAAUCCAUCUAUAACAACUUUCAAAUGUGUUGUAUUCUCUGCACUGCCAUUUUCAUCGAAACUCAAUUCAAAUAUCUCUUCUACCAAAGCACAAUCUGUAACCUCCAACAUCUCUAACUUAUCAUAUGUUUUUUCCAUUGAAGAAGGAAAAACAACAACAAUUUUCUUACAAUUGCUCACUUGCAACAUCUUCACUGUUACAAAUUCGCGGUGCCAUAUUGUGUUCAAGUUGUCCAUGUCCUUCAAUGUGAUUUUCUCUAAUUUAGAAAAAUGAACCUAAAAAAUUUAUAAAUAGCCAAUAUCAUUAUACAUAAUUAUUUAAAUACAAGUUUAAAAUUAAUUGAAUGUUCCAAGUGGUAGAAUUAACAUACCUCUUCCAUUUUAUUGUUUCUUUCUUUUUUGGCUAUUAUAUCCUCCAUCAAAGGACAAUUACUUAUUUCAAGUUGUUUGAGGCUCUCAAAACUUUUAACCAUAAUAGACGAGAAUAAGUACUUCAAUCCACCACAACUCUCCACAAUCAAGCUCGUUAAGUUGCACAUAGACCGAUGAUUGUCAUUCCAAAUUUUAUUCGAAUUGAGAAAACUCAAUUUAAGGAAAUCCAAAUCUGGAAAUGCAACCUACAUAAAAACAAAUUAACAUAAAUCAUAAUUGAAUGCUUAAUUGAAAGCCUUGUGUGUGUGUGGAUGUGUGUGUUAAUAUGGGGUCCUUAAUCAAUCACGACAGAGAAAAAGGGUUCAAAUAGAAUUGUUUGUACCUAAACCUAUCACAAAAUAUCAUUUGUAUCUAAAGAAGCUUUAAAAAAAAGAACAUACAUGAUCAUUGAAUAAUGGUGUUGAAACAUAAGGCUCUAUCCCUUGAUGUUUUUGCUCAUUUCUGGAGAAGAAAUUCUGAAGUCUGUCCAAAUGUUCUAAAGUCAGAGAACGAAAUCGAAAAACCGUUGAUGCACUUGAACUGUUGUCUCCGAGCACUAUCUCCUUCAUAGAAUUGCACUGACAAACUUCAAUCUUUGAAAGGUGGGAAAGUUCUUUAACCAAUGUCAAGGAGAAAAGAAAUUUUAAUUGGCAACAUUUUUUGACUUUGAUAACACUAAGACUUCCAAAACAAGUAAUUGAAAGUGGAUUAAGACAUAUAUGCUCCAAGUUUUUUAGAUUAUGAAGUACUAGUGUUUCCAAGAAGGGAAAGGACACAUGGAUUUGAUUCCUCUCUUGAGAGUCAACAAUAUGCUUCAUGUUUGCAUUAUUUUGGACGUGGAGAUGUUUCAGCAACGGAAAUCCUUCUCCAUUUAGUUGAUAAACCACAUUUUGAAUUCCACCUACAUCAUCCAAGUACAAAUUCUCAACACCUUUAAUCAAUGCUUUAAUUCCAUGCUCCAAAUGUAUGUUAGUACCAAGUUUGAGCAUCAAUGUUUUUGAGGUUCCAUCCACAAUGUCAGACCAUUCCCAUACAUCACCAAUAGCAAUUUUAUAUCUUUCCAACUUCUCGAACACCGUCUGCAAAUCCCUUGGUAACAUCCAAGUCUCGUGAAUUUGUAAUUCUAGAGUUGUCAAGUUGGGUAGUUUUCGAAGCUCAGAAAUGCUAGCAUUUUUGUUUUGAGCCGUUGAACUCGCAUCUCCCCAAUUAACAAAGGUAUUGCCCAUGUACAACUCCUCCAGUUUGGUCAAGCUUGAUAUAAUGUUAGGUGGGAUUACUUCUAUUCCUGAAUCUCUCAAAUCAAGCAUUCUCAAUUGAGUCAAUUGCCCUAUUUCUCUUGGCAACUUGGUCANNNNNNNNNNNNNNNNNNNNNNNNNNNNNNNNNNNNNNNNNNNNNNNNNNNNNNNNNNNNNNNNNNNNNNNNNNNNNNNNNNNNNNNNNNNNNNNNNNNNNNNNNNNNNNNNNNNNNNNNNNNNNNNNNNNNNNNNNNNNNNNNAUUCAAACACAGUGUUUGAAGGUCGGUUAGAAACCGAAAUGAAGUGGGUAAUGAUGACAAGUUCAGAGCUGUUAAAUCUAGGACUCUAAGGCUUCCCAUACCCUCAAAAAAAUUAUCAGGGAUUUCUAAAGAAAAAUUUCCACUGGACAAAUGGAAAAGCUUAAUGUUUGGACAAUUAAUCAUUUGAGGAAGAUGAUGCAUAGACCAAAUUAGAAUGACCUGAAUGCACCUUGUUAAAAAAUCCUUGGUUGGACAUUCCAGAUCUGAUUGUUUUCUUAGAAAUACAUGUUUGUCCCUACGUGCAAUGGAGAUAGCAAAAUCGCGAACAAAGUCAUGCAUUUGGAUAAUUCCACUAGUUUUAACUUCAAGCAAAAGACAAGUCGCCUCCAAAGAAUGGAUUAUUGAAUAAAGUCGGUUUCUAGCAUCAUCAACAGUAUUAAUAUGCUUUAAUAUAUCCAAACCCAUUGCAAGUUUCAGAAAGUACCGUACAUCUUCACCCGGAAAUACUGCAAAAAGCAAGAAGAUAUCCUUCAUUUCAUCACUCUCCAAUGAGUCGUAACUUAAUUCCAGAGCAGAAAAAAUUGUAUGAUGAUCACUUUGUAAUCUCCUUAAUGCAUCUUUCCAAGAUUCAACAUCCCCCUUAUCUUUCAAUGCUCGAGCUACCGUCGCUACCACAAGAGGCAAACCUGCACAUUUUUGGGCAACUUCAAUUGCUAAACCUUGCAAAUUUCUAUCUUUAACCACAUCCCCAGCCAUAAAUUGAAACAAGCUCCAUGUCUCAUUUACACUCAUAAGUUCAAGUUUGAAAGUGAAAUCCUUUGGAACAUCCAUUUGCAGCAACAUAUCUUGAUUUCUGGAUGUCAUCAACAAUUUACAACCAUUAUGUUCAUUAGCAAAUGGAAUUCCGACUUUCUUCAAAUCAAGUAUGGUCCAUAUAUCAUCUAGAACGAUAAGGAUAUUUUUCUCCAUCUUUAUUCUUUGACUUAGGCGACGUGCUCUGCCAAGAAUAGUCUCCUCAUCGAAUCGCAGACCCAACAAAUCUGCAAUCUCCCCUUGAAUUCUUUUAAUGUCUGGAUCUUUUGUUACAUUCGUUGUAACAACUUUAUCAAACAAUUUGUGUUGCUCAGAUAUUUUAGCAACUUCCUCCACCAGAGUGGUCUUACCCAUCCCACCCAGCCCAUAGACCCCAAUGUUGCGUGAAUUAUUGUGUGCUAGAGCCUUCAUAAUGUUCUCUUUAAGUGUUUCCCUUGUCUCAUAAUUUUCACCACCUCUUGUUGAGGAGGAGGAGGCUUCUCCAUCUAAGAUGGGAAGGUAACCAAUUCGAUCAAACUUCCCUUUUUCUUGAACUUCAAUAACAUCUUUUACAAUUUUUGUGGCUUUCCUACUCAGUUGAUGACGCAAAAUCAAAUUGGGGAACGGGCAUGCUGAGCACCUAGCAUUGGCACGACGAGGAUCAUUUUCAAGCUGAUUUGCCUUUACAAUGACCUCAUCCACUUUCUCUAACCAGUUCAUCACAUCUCUUUCAAUCUUUUUACCGUUUCUCCUUUCUUCUUCAACGGAAUGGGUUAUUCUUUCUUUUGCUGCCUCAAGGUCUUUAACUCUAACCGCUAACAUACUGAAAUUGCCUUUGUAGAAUAUCAAGUAACUUGCUUGACGUCCAAUAGGCACAACAGUAUGUUGUGCUACUGCUCCAACAAUAGAAGAUAGAAUUUCCAUUGAUUAUCUUUUCUUCUCCUCUUCCUUGUGACUUGAGUUAGCCUGAAAGUGAAAGUAAAAGGUAUUGUUUUCGAUGAGUUCAAAAGAAACAAGGGAAACAUUUGGAAAGGUGAGGACAUCAUCCCAAUACUGUUUAUCUUCGAUGAACAAAUGGAACAAUCGCAAAUAUGAAAAGUUAAAGUUCCUUUUUGAUCAAGUAACUACCAUUUCAGUGACAAAUCACGAUCAUAACAGUUAUAGUACUUCGGUAAACUAUUUUUAGCAGAUCCUGUUCUAUCAAUUAAAAUAGCCAAAACAAUUAAGUAACAGUUACUUAGCUGAACUAUUCUAUUUCUACACAAUUCAGGGUUUGGAGCUCUUACCUGAAUUAGGAAUAAUUGAACAGAACAAUUGGUGCUAUUGAGUGAUGCAAAAUGACUUCAAAAAUCCAGAAACUAAAAUGAUCUGCAAAUAACAACAACAUCAAAAUUAAAGGAUUAAUUUACUCUCUAUUAGUGAACGAAAAAAAAGUGAAGGAGAUACAAACAAUGCAUGCAUACCUCUUAACUACUAUCUGUGGAAACAACAGAGUGAAUACCAANNNNNNNNNNNNNNNNNNNNNNNNNNNNNNNNNNNNNNNNNNUUUUUUUUGGCUAUAUGAAUGGGAAAUAACAAAAAUCUGAAGAAAAAAAUAUAUAAAUAAAACAGAGAUACCAAGAGAUUAAAGACUCAAAUAUUAAAAUUUAAAACUAAGCACUUUUUUUUUAUUGGGUACUCGGGUGAUUUUAAUUUGAGAUGGGUUUCAGAAAUUGGUAACCUGUUUUUGUAAGAGACUCUGUAUAUAUGUGGAUGGAAUGGGAUAGGAUAUAAUUGGAUGGGAAGAGACUUACCCAAAAAAUUUGCUUUAUAAAAAAUAAUUAUACACUAAUUACUAAUUAGGCCGUGGCUCGUCCACACAAAUGAGAUAAGAUAACAAGUCAUUGCCAUUGGACCUACUGCCAUCAUGGCAUUGUGUCAGUCCACUCAUAUAUGCACAUUUUCGGAUAAGUAGGAGUAAGGGGGUAGUGGGUCGGAUUUGGAAAAAAAGCAAAACUCGAACCACAUAAGGUACUUUGGAUUGGGUUAAUAAAAUAGUCAUCCGUUAUAAUAUUGGGUCGGGUUGGAUAAACCAUUAAUUUUUGGGUUGGGUUGGGAAGUGGGUUACCCGAAUUUUUUUCUAUUUUUUAUAUUAAAAAUAUAAAUGUCGAAUCAUCAUAUUUUUUUCAUAAAAAUAAUUCAAUCAUUGUAUUUUUUUGAAAAAUAAUGUAACUUUUUUUCACUAUAAAAAAUAAUCACCUAUUUUUUUGUGUAUAUCCACUAAUUUACAGGUUGAAUAAUGGGUUAUCCAAAUGAUUUUUUUUCCUUUUUUGAAUAUCAAACGACUAAACAAAGAAUCAUGAUAUUUGCUGAUGAAAAUUAUUCAAUAUUCUUAUUUAUUUUUAAAAAAUAGUGCGAUAAAUAUCAUAUUUAUCUAUAAAAAUUAUUCAAUCUUUUUAUUUUCUUAAAAAAUAGUAUAACUUAUUUUCAAUAUAAAAAUAUUUAAUGAUAAAUGGCAAAAUCUUUAGUAUUUUAAUAAAAUAUUUCAAAAGACAUAGCAUUAGUGGGUCAGUGGUUUUUUGGGUUGGGUCCGGUUUUACCUGAAACCCAAAUUUUUUAUGGGUUUUUCACUUUUGAAAUCCAUAUCCACCCACUUGCCCGACCCAACCCACUUUUUUGGGUUGGAUUGAGUGGGUUUGACCGGAUCGACCAGAUUUACCUAAUCCAUGUACACCCCUGAGUAGGAGUAAUAUUUUUUAUGGCAACUCCAAGUAGGAUUAUAAAUUAAUUCAAANNNNNNNNNNNNNNNNNNNNNNNNNNNNNNNNNNNNNNNNNNNNNNNNNNNNNNNNNNNNNNNNNNNNNNNNNNNNNNNNNNNNNNNNNNNNNNNNNNNNNNNNNNNNNNNNNNNNNCUGUGAAGAUUAUUUGUUCGGGGUUUCGAGUUUGCGGAUUUUUUUCACGAGGACAAGGAUGGAGAGAAAAGUUUCUUCGACGACAUUUUAGGGCGGGGAUUAAGGAAGUACCAUCACCCUACGGAUUCUCCAACCGCAGCCAUUUUACUUAUUUGUCUAAUUUUAUUGGAUAAUUGCCUUAAAAUUUUGGGUUAUCAUCAUAGAAAUUCUAUAAUUGUCUAUAUUAGAGUUUUUCUAUAAUUAUGCAUGCAUGGUUUUUGUCUAGAAAUUUUUGUUUAUGUUAAUAUUGUUGGACCAAGAAUGUUUUAUAUUUAUCUUGUGACUGAAGCAAGAUAUAUCGAAAUACUUGUGUUAGAUUCUUGAAUGAAAAAUAUCUAUGGUGGAGAGCGGACGAGGAAUAAGUGAGUCAAAAUCUCUUUUAUAUCCCCAAAAAUAAGUGAGGGACAAAAAAUCUUGUUUUUGUCCUGUACCUUGCUACCUAAUUUGUCCAGUCCCAUAACCAGUUUCAAAUCAAACAGGGUAUAACAAAAGUUGUCUUGUCCAGUCCUCUGCUUUUUAGCGGAUCAAACGCACCCUAUAUGUAUAUUAUGAUUAUUUUAAAAAAAUAAUAUUACUAUAUGUAUAUUUUUUUUACUUAUAGUUAUAUGUAUUAUUUGUGUGGAAAAUGACCAAUAAUUUAUAUGGGUUAGAUAAUAAAAUAAUAGUCUAUCUUAUUGGAUUUGUUAGUUUAGAGUUCAUUAGGUUUUAUUAUAUAUUCUCUAAUAACAUUUUUGUAAUGUUAAACUAUGCUAAUGAUAUUUUAUUGAAACUCUAGCCGUCUCUCUCUUUUCGUAUUUGUAUCUCUAAUUCUAAUAUGGUAUCUAGAGCGUAUUUAGGAAUGUAAUCGUAGUUUCUUUUUUUGUUUGUUGGUUUUGUUUGGAUGCAAGAUUGGUAUUUAGUGGUGUUGUUGCUGAUUUUGAUUACUAGUUUGCGUUGGUUCCGAGUUUGGAACUUCAGGCGGUGUUUCGUUUUGUUCUUUGGCAGCUUGGUUUGUUUGGCUAAUUGUGUGUUUUGAAUAAAAAACAAAAACGCAUACAAUAGUGGAAUGGAAGAGUCGUUGGAAUUUAAAGGCAUAUAUUUUGAAAGUUUGAAAGCUAAUUGGCAAGUGUGGUGAUGACCAGCGACGACACAUAGUAAAACAAAAGAUAUAUGUGCAUUUUGGCUGGAGGUAAUUAAUUUGGUUGUGGUUAGUUUUGUUGUUAUGUCUGGUUUGAUCGGUUGUUUGGUGAGUCGAGUGUUUACAAUUUGAUUUCUUUUGAUUGAUUGCAUGUCACUUUUCCCUGACUUUUUUCGAUUGUACUUCUUCUUGGCUUCUUUUGGUUGCACUUCUCUCUGGCUUCUGAUUGAUUGCACUUCUCCCUAGUUUCUUCUGAUUGUACUUCUCUCUGACUUCUUCUGAUUGAUUGCACUUCUAUGGCUUCUUCUGAUUGCAUUGCACUUCUCUCUAGCUUCUUCUGAUUGAUUGCACUUCUUCCUGUCUUCUUCUGAUUGCAUUGCACUUCUCCCUAGCUUCUUCCGAUUGAUUGCACUUCUCCCUCUAUUGGUUGAUUCUUCUAUUUGGUUUGGAUCUGUUCGUUUAAUUUGUAACAAGCUUAAAGCUUAGUAAGCUUUAGCUUGAAGGUUAGUGUUUGAAGUUUAUAGUAUUUAGUAUGUUUUUGGUAUUUUGUUUGACAAACUCACAAUGUUUUUCUUGUUGAUUCAUCAUGANNNNNUAUAUAUAUAUAUAUAUAUAUAUAUAUAUAUAUAUAUUCUCUAGUAACCUUUUUGUAAUGUUAAGAUAUACUAAUGAUAUUCUAUUGAAACCCUAGCCGUCUCUUUCUCUUUUUCGUAUUUGUAUCUCUAAUAUAUAUGUAUUAUUCAUGAGGAAAAUGACAAAUAACUUAUUCAGAUAAUUUAGUAAAAAUAUUUUUUUUGUUUAGCAUUUUCCUAAUAUAAUUACAUUUCUUAAUAUGUGCUAAAAUUUUAAAAUUUUAUGAUGAUGUGGCAGCUGAGUAAUUUAAGUGACUUUUUGGUGCCUGGAAAAUUUUCUAUCACAACUUUUAGUCCCUACUUUUCAUUCAACUCGUGCAUAUCAUUUAAAAAAAUUUAAAAAAAAUUGCGGUCAUGUUUAGUACAUUAUCUCUUGCAAAAGUUUGAAUUUUUUUAACAAGAGAUGAAUUAAAUGUGAACUUUUUAGUUUUUUGCACAUAAAAAUUCAUAAAUAAUUCACUUGUGUUACAAAAAUUUUAAUUUUUUUAUCGGAGAUGUUCUUAAAAUAUUAUAAACCUCGAAAAAAAUAUUCCAGAAUGUGAAAGUAUUCAAUAAUUUGAUUAAAAGUAUGGAAUAAAAGUUGUGAUAGAAAAUUUUUCAGGGACCAAAAAGUAUGAAAAAAAUAUUUAAGAAACUAAACGUGAAUUUCUGAAAAACUUUAGAGGUCAUUUACUUAUUUAACCCUAAAAUUUAUAUAUGUCUCUUUAAUAUAAGUUUUUUCAAGUUAUUAUACAGUAUAAGUCUCUUUUCAAGUUAAAUAAAAUAAAGAAUAUUAACUAAUAUGUUUAGACCAUUGUUAAAAAAUCAAAUAUAAUUAUACUAUCUUAAAAGUUGAUAAUCAAAAUAUAAAAAUAUUUACAAACCAAGAUUUAUUUUUUAUACUGUAUUUCUUUAGCUAGUGUCAUUUCUGCAUAUAAUUAUAAUCUGUUAUGUCCUUUACCAAUAUUUGAGCUAAACUUAUGGAGAAAAAAAUAUUUAAGUUAAUGCUAGCUAGUAUAUGCAUUUGUUAUUUUAUGUAUUCAAAAUAUGACUGUACUAGUAGGUGUGUUAGUAUUUAGUAUUUAUUUGCAGGGACCCAGUCAAUAAUGAGGGUAAAGUACUACUCCAUUUAUCUUGGUCAGAGUUGCCGCAAUAAAUAAAAAACGGUUGCUGAUAAUAAUGUCGAAGUUAAUGUUAUUAAUGAGGAGAGUUGUGCCAUCAUCAAUGUUUGGAGACAACAAUAACUUUAGAGUCUGUUUGCAAAAAUAAUUUAUGGCUAAUAAGCUGGCUGAUAACUUAUGGUUGAUAGCUGAUGACUGAUAGUUUCUAACUGAUAAGUUAAUUAAAGUGUUUGGUAAAAUUAAUGGUUCAUCUGAUUGAUAAAUGUAAAAUGACAUAAAAGGACAUCUUUAAUUCAAUAAAUUUUUUUAUCAAAUUAAUAUUUUUUAAGAUACUUAGAAUUUAAUAUUUUAAGUUUAUUUUAUUUUUUUUUACAAUAUUUUAAGUUUAUUAAUUCACUAAAUAUAUCUUUCAAAUAUUAUUAUUAAACUAAUUUUUAUAUGCUGGAUUUUUUUAAAAGAAAUUAUUUUCAUUUCAGUGGAUAUACUUUAUGAAAAAAUAACAACAAAAUAUAUUCAAAAUAUAGUAUAAUGGUUAAUUAUAGUAAGGUACGUUGUUUCAAAAAAAAAUUAUAGUAUGGUACGUACCUAUGAAUUGAUAAAAAAAAAUAUGUUUUAGCUUUCAUAUUUGAAAAUAGAUAAUAAAGUAACGUUAAAACAUAUUAUAUACAUGUGAUUUUAAAAUAAACAACUUUAAAACAUGUAUCUACUUAUUUUAUUUUAAAUUCUAAUGAUAAUAAAUUAUAAAGGAUAAAUGUGGAUUUUAGUUAAAAUAAUAAGGGUAAAAGAGGAAGAAAAAAUGAAAAGCUAUAAGUUCAGAAGCUACUUAAAAUAGCUUCUGAAAAAGAAGUUAUAAGCUCUUUCUAAAAAGACUGUUACCAAACAAGUCUUUUAACUUAUAAGUCAUAAGAUAAAAACUAAAAACUAACUUUUUUGCUUUGUCAAAUAGACCCUUAAUAAAAUACAAUAACCAAGCCGGUAGUACUUUUUUUCUUUGACAAAACUAUAACCAUAGUACUAAUAGCCAGAAUUGCAUGCUUGCAAAAUGGAUCAGGCGAGUUAGGAUACUUCCCAUUUCAUCUCAAUUUUUUUUAUUGGAAAAUGCUAAAUAGUACCCUCAAGGCACUACAAAUACUAUCAUAAUUUGACAUUAGAACUUGUGCAGUCAACUCCUCGAAAGUCUUAAAAGUAUUAUUCUUAAUUCAAAUCUUUCUUUUUUGGUUUCUUUAAUCAGUGCCCCGGGGGCACUGGUUAGCAUGACCAUUUUUUAUUAUAUAAUGUAGUUUUGAAGAGUUUUAAAAUGAAUAUUAAAUAAUUGGACUCACUAAAUAUUACUUUAAGACUCAUUUCAUUCGUAGGAUAAGAGACACGAUAUGAUAAAUGUAUCAUAUUCUGUCUCGAUCUAGUGUUUUGUGAGACAGCAGGAUAUGAUAAAUUAAUCUUGAAACUUAUCAUAUCAUCUCUCUAUUUAAAAAGUUUAUCCUAAAGUUGAGCUGCAUUACCGGCAGGAUAUGAUAAUAAAAUAUUUUAUUGAUUUAUUCCAAAAAACAUAUUUUCCAAUAAUAAAUGAAAAUUAUUAAAAGAUAAUUAAUAAAGUAUUUUGAUAUUAAAUUAAAAAUAAAAUAAUUAAGUUUUAAAUAUGUGCAUGAUUUUUUCACAAGGGUAAUUUUGUAAUUUGAUAUUAUAAAUAAUCAAAAUUCUACUAAAAUUGUAAUAUUUAAAAGUAAAAUAAUUAUUAAAAAUUGUAAAAUAGGAAUAUUAAUUUAAAUUUUAUAUAAAAUCAUGAUUCAUGUAAAAAUUUUAACUUGUUUAUUUGCUCGUGAUUUUUAUUUAAAAUUAUAUAAAAUUAUUUUAAUACUUAUUUUAAGAACAUGAUAUGAUAGUUAUCUUAUCAUGUUUGUUAUCAUGUGCGCACCAAAUACAUGAUAAGAUAAUUGUUAUAUAUGUUGCUUAUAUCUUAUCCUAUAAUUAUCUUGUUUUAUUAUUUUAUAUCAUAUAUCAUGUCAUUAUCAUAUCUUGCGCACCAAACAAAAUCUUAUUGUUUUUAUAUUCCCAAUACCUUAGUACACUAGUGCAAAAAUAAGAAUAUAAUUAGAUAUUACACUUGUUUUAUUGAAAAUGAGUGUAAAAGAGUUAUGUUGUAAUAUUAGACAGCACGUUUUAAGAAAACAUGUAUAAUAGUGAAAUAUUAGUUACCUAAAAUUUAUAAUACACUUGUUAUAUAAAAAAAGGUGAGAAAAAAUAGAUGUAAAAGAGUUAUGUUGUAAUAUUAGACACCAUAUUUAAAGAAACAGGUGUAAUAGUGAAAGACAAUUCAUCUAAAAUUUAUAAUACAUUUGAUAUAUAAAAAAUGUGAGAUAAACUAACUUAGAUUUAAUAAUAAUUACUUGCUUCAAAAGAAAUUUAAUAACAAGUUACACAUUAUUCCUUAAAAAUAGAAAUAAACUUUUUUAUAUUUGAAAUAUAGGCUGCUUCUAAGAUGGAGUAGUAGUAUAGCAUAUAUGCACAAUUAUAUAUUUGAGGUGUUAGGCACACAUAUAAUAAUAAAAAAAAUAAAAUGAGAAAUGAAUAAAAUGAUGUGACUAAAUUAUUUUUUAUUAAUUUUAUUUAUUUAUGUGAGUGUGCUAUAUAUUUGUGUCUAAAUGGUGUGCGUGUGCCUAUGCAAGGGUUUGGAGCUAUUACCUGAAUUAGGAACCAUGAACAGAACAAUUGGUGCUAUUGAGUGAUGCAAAAUGACUUCAAAAAGCAGAAAUUAAAAUGAUCUGCAAAUAACAACAACAAAGUUAAAGGAUUAAUUUACUCUCUAUUUUUUUUUUUGGAAAGGCAAAAACUAAUAUAUUAAAAAAUCCAAGCAUAAUUUACUCUAUUGGUGAACGAAAAGGAGAACAAACAAUGCAUGCAUACCUCUGACUACGAUCUUUUUUUUUUUUUGUUUUAUUUUUUAUAAGCUCUAACUACAAUCUGUGAAAGCGUAAGCCGAUCUCUUCAAAGGGUACGAAUUAAAAUGCAGAAAUUAAUAUAUGACAUUUUUUUAUAGAUUUUUUUUUGUUUGUUUACUAUAUGAAUGGGAAAAUAGCAAGAGGUUGAAGAAAAUCUGAAUUGGGAAUCUGUUUUGGUAAGAGACUUUGUAGAUAAUAUGUAGAUGUAUAUAUAGGAAAGGAAAGAUAAGAUAUGAUUGGAUAGGAAGAGGCUCAUCUUACUAAUAGUGAGAAUGCAAAUCCUGGUCCCUAAUACUAAUAGUGACAGCAAUGUGUUCUCACACAUAUGCACGCUUUGCGGAUAGGAUUUCCAGCUGUAACUGAUUUUAACCGUCCGAUUUAUAAACGGUAGAUGAAAUUAUUUUUAAUCAUAAAAUUGUGUAUAAUAUCAAAAUUGUUCCGUCUUAAACGAAUGUCUCAAAUUUAAUACAAUAUGAAAUUGUGUAAAAAAUUUACAGCAGGAAAUCAUCAUCCCACAUUUUGCAUAGUCAAAUAAGUCUUAAAAUAAGUACACAUCCGAAAUAAAAUUUUGUUUUAAAAUAUAUAUCUUUCUCACUUUUUAAUAUAAUAUUUUUCAAUUUAGUCACCACAAAUUAUUACUUUAUUCAUUAUUUUUAAGAAAAUCGACCAACAAUUUAUAGAGAUAAUUUAGCAAAAGUAUUACUCCUUAUGUGAUGGAGAUAAAAGUUCUCUUCGGUAAAAAUUAGCAGAUAGUUGAUCAGAUAGUUUAUAGUAGAUGAGUUUAUAGCGGGUAGUUUAUAAACUAGCUUUUAGCUUAUAGCGGAUCAAUUAUAGCUGAUUGAAUUUUUUCAUAUAAAAUAAUAGGGGUAAAAUUAUAAGAAAAAAUGAUAAAAUAAAUCAUAAACUAGUUUAAACUAUAAGCUAUAAGUUCAUAAACUAAUUAAAAUAGUGUUUGAACUUAUAAACUAAUUUUAAAAAUAAAAUAAACUAUAAACUCGUUUUUAAAAACGGUUACCAAAUAAAUUUUUUAACUUAUAAAGCUAAGUUAACUUAUUGACCUUCAAAUAAAAAAUAUAGGGUUGUUGUAUACGACUAUAAUAGUAGGUGUAUUAUUUAUUUGCAUGGACCCAGUCAAUAAUGGAGAUAAAGUAGUGUUAAUCAAGUGGUCAUGAUCGACAAUGAUGCACAACAAAACAUAUACCUUUAGAUUCAUCUUUAACCUAUAGUAUUAUUGUGUACCUUCUAUACAAGAUUUCUCUCUCUCUCUCUCUCUCUCCUCCCUAUAUGUGAUUGACACGCUGACGGGACCAUUUCUUUUCUUUCUUUCUUUUAUUUUUUUUUAGGUACAAUAAAAUAAAAUAUAUUAAUUAAUUUUGUAAAAGGAAAUAGGUUUAGUGUGAUAACACAAAUAAUUUAGAUAUGUUGGGAUCAAACCCAAAACCAUAUGUUAAGGGAUUCUACAAUCUAACUAUCACUUGUGUCACACUAAGUUGAUAAUAUUUGAGUAUUUUUUUAUUUUAGUUAAAAUUUAUUUUUCUACUUUUAAUAGAAUAUAAUAAAAUUAAUUAUUACAAAAUUUACUAAUUUGUCCUUAUCAAUUUUAAUAAUAUUCAAAUUUUUGUAUCCAUCAUUAUAAUUUUACAAAAAAAAAAAUAUCGAAAGAAUAAGAUAAAUAUACAAAAAAAAAAUUAUAUAUGAAUAGAUGCAUAAAAAUAGAAAAAAAUAAAAAAAAGGGUAAAUGAUCAUUUACCCCCCUGCAAAAUAAGCGAAUUUUCGUUUACCCCCCUGUGCAGAUUUUUUUUCUGUUUACCCCCUGCAAAACAUAGAUUCCCUCAUUUUGCCCCCUGGGUGUACGGCAGGAUAUGUGACUGUGCACAUAUGCUGACGUGGCUUGUAGACGUGGAAAAAAAUCAUUUAUAUUUUUUUAAUAAAUUCCACGUCAGAUAAUAUAUUAUUUUUUUAAAAAAAAAUAAAAAAUUUCCUAAAAUAAAAAAAAAAACUAAAUUUUUUUUUCCUAAAAUAAAAAAAAACGAAUUUUUUUUAUUAUGCACCAAAAAUAAAGAUUUACUCCCAAAUAAAAUUUAUUUUUAAAAUAAAAACAUUAAAGAUAUAUUUUCAAAUCUUUUUUAUUUAAAGAAAAAUAGAAUCCUUAUUUUNNNNNNNNNNNNNNNNNNNNNNNNNNNNNNNNNNNNNNNNNNNAAUCUUUUUGAAUUAAAAAAAAAAAGAAAAAAAGUACCGUAAAAAAAAACGAAUUUUUUUAUUUUGCACCAAAAAUAAAGAUUUACUCCCAAAUAAAAUUUAUUUUUAAAUUAAAAAUUUUAAAGAAUUCUAGAAAAAAUAAGAUGAAUGUAGCAAAAUGAAUAUAUAUAAUUUGGUCAAGUAGAGCAACCUUUAACUAGACUUUGUAGAAGCUUGUAAUAGAAAUAGGCACAGAUAAUAAAUAAAUCGCACCUAUUUUCAAUACUCUAAAUCCUAGAAAAAUAUGAUGAAUACACGUGAGUUACUUAUAAGCAGGGACUACAAGUUAUAACAUCAAAUAUUUUUGAAGACCAAUACUCCCUGAAAAUUUUUACAAGGACACUAAAAUUAAAAUUUGAGAUAUUUAUAGGGAUGAAAUAUACCACUAGUACAUGAUAAAUUCAUAUUCUGAAAUUCAAUUCGGCUGAUUUGAAAUCAUAUUUUCUUUCAUCGAUCUCAAUUUCAAAACUCAAUUUUCACAGCUAAAAUUACCAUUCGUAGCAAAACAUUCAGAUACCCUAGAGUCACUACCUUCCCCUAAUUGGGAUAGAUGUCAUGAAUUUUAUAUAUGUUGUCUGCAUACUUUGCAAUACAUAAUAGGGAAUUAACCAAAAAGUGCAUGUGAGGGAGCAUAACAAAAUUUAUGGAUGGUUGAGAUUUGAUGUCAAAACAAAGUUUGACAUCUGGUGUCAAUGGAUGCUGACUCUUAAUAAUAAUAGGCAGAAUUGCAGACUUGCAAAAUGGACCAGGCCACUUCAAUCUGGAAGGCAGUAGCAUUGACUCUGCGAGAUAGUACUCAUGUCGUGGAUGCCGAAGGAAUCGUGGAGUUAGGAUUUCUCUAUUUUAUUUUUUCAUUUAUUUUAUUUUUUUGUCAAAGUAAAUUAGUAGUUAAAAAUUUCAAUCUUAAAGUGAAUAAGUGAGAUGAUCGGGAUUCGAACUUCAUCCCCUCCAAUUUCAUCUCUUCAUUUUUUUCUCUUAAUUAUUAUAAAUUUGAAACAUUUUAAAAUGAAUAUUAAAUAAUUAGAUACAUUAAAUAUUAUAUUAUUGUAUUAAUAUUUUAAAAAAAUGGAGGGAUCAUUAUCUGGGGUACGUAUUAUUAUCAACUAUGGGUGGUGUUUUGAGUAACCUGAGUUCACAUGCAUGUAUAUGUAGUAUGGAUUACAUAAGCUGAUGACGGCUAUGCUUGUGGAAUUGAUGAUGAUGUAAUAAAUAUUUGAAAAUUAAUUCUCUGUAUGAUGAGCUGUUUUUAAUCAGCAGGACUUUUGACAAUCAGACCUGGCAUGAGAAAAUGAAUAGAGAAAAUGUACAGUACUUUUUAUAAAAAAACAAAAAAUAUAAAUCAGCAAGAUCAAGAAAAUACUACAUUGUAAAUAAUUAUUUUUAUUUAAUAUUUCUAUAAAUUCAAAUUUAUUUUAUACAUAUUAUUUAUUUAAUUACUCUUAAUUCAAUUUACUUGAUUUUUCUCUCAAAACAAAAUAACUUACUUAUUUUUAUUAUUUUCUUUCAUAAUAAUAAAUAAAGACACAAGUGAAAUUAUAUAUUUAAUAUAUUUUAAAAUUAAUCAAAAUUUCUUAUAAAAAUGACAAAAAAAAUUGUCACUUUUGUUUUUAUAAAAAUGAUCAAAAGAAGUAUUAUUAGUUGAAAUUAUUGAAGCUCAGGUAAAACUUAAAUACCUUAAUCGGUAUUAUAAUCGGGAUGUUAUAUUCUUAUGCGGGACACUAGUCCAUUGAAAAUAAGAGUUCAUAAAAUACAGUUCUCUUAUACCGACCGGCAUGGGAAUGUGUUCACACAUGCAACUUUUGCCGAUUAUCAAAUACUCAUUCCGACCACUAUUAUAAAUAAAAAUCAUUUUUUCAAAUUUAUUGUAAAACUAAUAUAUCUGAAUUAUAAUAUUUUAGUUAGUCAUACGGUUCAUUUCUGUUGGGUUUUUGUAUGAUUGGCUACAUUUUGCAAAAAACAUNNNNNNNNNNNNNNNNNNNNNNNNNNNNNNNNNNNNNNNNNNNNNNNNNNNNNNNNNNNNNNNNNNNNNNNNNNNNNNNNNNNNNNNNNNNNNNNNNNNNNNNNNNNNNNNNNNNNNNNNNNNNNNNNNNNNNNNNNNNNNNNNNNNNNNNNNNNNNNNNNNNNNNNNNNNNUUAAAGACUAAUUUAGGGACACUUGUUAGCAACUUUUUUUAAGUUUUUUUCCCCCUUUGUCUAGCUCGGUAUAUAAAUUCUCUUUGAAUUUUCAAUUGUAUUAAUUAUUAACAUGUUUUUUUUAUUUGAAGGAUAAUUAUUAACAUGUUAAAAUAUCUAGAAAUUUUGUAUUUUUUUCUUACGCCGCUAGUUUAAUCUGGUUCAGAUGUCAGUUCUGACAUCAAGUGGUUCCAGUCUCGAUCGCAGUUAUUGGGAUCUAACAAUGGUCUUCCCUACCAAGUUCAACAUCAAUCAGUACCGAACCUAACGAUUAGUGAAAUUUUCUAUUUUUAUAAUACUAAUAAUUUAAUAUUUCUAUAUUUAUCUUCUUAACAUAUUCUCUUAUAGCACAUAUGUUCUUAAUUAAUUUAUAUUUUUUCCCUAGUUCGUAAUAAUUACUACUAGUAUAAUCUAAACAUUAACUAAUUCUUUAUCUUACUAUUUUUAAUCUAUAAGUAAUACUCCUUCCGAUCUUAUUUAUAAGCAAAAGUCAAGACAAAAAAUUAUUUUCUUAAUAAAUGUGUAAAUGAGCAUAUUUGCUUACGAAAGAUGCCGGAGUAAGUAUACUAGUAAACUUCUUUUCAAGUUAAUGCUACUAUAUGAAUUUAUUAUUGGGUGUUUCUAACAUGUGCCCUUAAAUUUUUUAUAAUUAAUUUGUGAUCAAGUUUAAAAAAGUUAAGUAAAUGCAUUAAUUAUGAUAAAAUAUUUCCUUUUUUGAAUCACUAAUGGAGCAACUCAUCUUUUGAGUAGGGGUGUGCAUAUUUGUUUGACCUGACCGCAAACCGAAAAACCUGUAUUGUAUACUAGUGUUGCGGGCGGUUUUAAAUGGGUCUCGGGUGUCCAUGUGUAAAAAGAACAGUUUUAAAUGAGUCUUAGCGGGCGGUCCGGUUUUAAAAAAUAUCAUUCAACGGUACCCACACCCGACCGACAUAUAUAAUUUUAAUUUUAAUAGUUGUUUAUGAGAAAGAGUAAGUAGUAAGUGACGUGACUACACUCUGCAGCAGGGUACACAUUUAUGACUAUCCAUUAUCUUUAUUGAUUUUUUUUUUGACGGUAGCAUUAUCUUUCUACUGAUAGGAGUAAUGUUUAUGAAAAAGCCUAGAGUGCAAAACACAGACCUAGUUUUAGAGUUCUGUAACUUCACUUUAUACUUGUUGUGACUUGACCAUAUACUAUUAUUAAUAUAUUUUAUUACCUUCAUUUGUACUGUACUACUAGAAGAAAAUUAAAAGAUAGGUAAGUCUCUACCUCCUCUUGUUGUUCACUGUCAACAAACUUCUCUCUCUAAGAGUUUGGUUUUGCCUCUUUCACAAUUGAAGAUAAUUGCAGCACUUCUUUGUUCUAAUUUCAAAAUCUGAAGAUAGUGCUACAAGUCUACAACCUUGUCUAUUGUCGAGAAUAAGAUCUCUCUCUCUCUCUCUCACUCUCUCUCUCAAUCUCUAUGGUGUUUGAACUGUUUUUUGACGAGUAGCAUGAUUUAACUUCCAAUUCUUGCCUUCACUUCUCUAUUUUUGUUUUUUGAUUUUGUUUGUAGUUGCACCCGAGUAAACCGAUCCGAACAAACCGUGACCCGCAAGACCCAUAACCCGUCAAAACCGAGCUCACUCGCGGUCGAGUUUGGGCCGUAAAAUGAUGUCUUCGGUUUCAUUUGGUAUCGCCUUUCUCGGCCCGAACCCGCCCAUAACCGCCCGUUGCACACCCCUACAACAAACCGUCAAAAGAAUGGCUCAUUGACAGUGGUUGCACAAACCAUAUGACUUAUGAUCGAUAUCUUUUCAAAGAGCUCAAUAAAACUUCUAUUUCCAAAGUCAGAAUUGGGAAUGGAGAACAAAUUGCAGUAGAAGGCAUUGGAACAAUUUCAAUUNNNNNNNNNNNNNNNNNNNNNNNNNNNNNNNNNNNNNNNNNNNNNNNNNNNNNNNNNNNNNNNNNNNNNNNNAAUUUUACAUCAUUAUAAAUGGGUCCCACAAAAAUUAUAUAAGUACCACUUCUUAUUGUAGAACUAGUACCUAAUAAGUACUCAUUUAUGUUUUGCUCCAAUGGUGAUACCUAUUAGGUACUAGUACUUAAAAAAUAAGUAUUCACCAUUGAAGAUGGUCUAACAUGUGCCCUUAGGACACAUUUUAGAUUUUUCCUUUUAUUACUUUAUAGCAAGGACCAGGGACGGACUUGGAGGGGGCAAGCAGGGGCCAAGGCCCCCCCUCCCCCUCAUCUAUAUAGAUACAUAUACAUAAUAUAUCAUAUUAUAUGACAUACCAUUAGUAUAUUAUAAUUUGUAAAUGAAUAAUGCUAGCAACACACUCUUUAAUAAAUACACUCUCUUUUAUUGGUUGAAAUUCACAUGGGUCCCAUAAAAAAAUAUGGACCCAUAUAAUUUUUAUGGGAUCCAUAUAAAUUUUAACCAAUAGAAGAGAAUGUGUUAUAGUGUGUUUGUUAAAAAGUGUGUUGCUAACACUCUAUUAUUUAUCAUUUGCAUUAUAUAAAUAAGAAAUUAAUUGAUAUGUAUUUACGGUGUAAAAAUCUUUAUAUUGUCGAACAAUUAUAAGUGUUCAAUUAUUAAAAAUAUAGCCUUUUAAUAAACAAAAAAUUAGUUGUUUUGAGUGGUAAGAGUUUUGAGUCUCUUAAGUAAAUGGUCAAAAGUUUCAUAUUUGGCUCUUGCGUAUGAACAAAAUUCGAUUGAGGGGAAGAACUUAUUUUUUGUACCCCACAUAUUUCCCGGAGGCGAUUAUUCAUCGAUCACCAUUAAACAAGAACUUCAUAAAUAUAACACGAUAACAUUAAAAAAAAUUACAUGGACAGAUGUAAUAGAAAAAUCUACAUUCAUUUUUAUUAUUAUUUUACUAAUUUUUAAUCCCCGGUGUGAUAAGCUUCUGGAUCCGUCCCUGACAAGGACUCGGUCAAUAAUAGAGGUAACGUUAAUCUUGUCAGAGUUUAAGUAGUAAAUAAAAAACGGUAGCUGAUAAUAAUGAGUAAUAAAUAAUGAUGAAGUUAAUGUGAUUAAUGAGGAGAGUUGUGGCAUCAUCAUGAAGCUUUAAUAAGCAAGUUGCUCCUCUGGCCAGAAUUGCAGGCUUGCAAAAUGGACCAGGCCACUUCAAUCCGGAAGGCAGUAGCAUUGACUCCAGUGAGUUACAUAUGCUAAAAAGAAGAAGAAAAGGGAUGAUGAGGAUAUGCUUGUGAGAAUGAUGAUGUAAUGAAAUGAGUAUUAUUAGUUGAAACUGUCCAAGUUUGCGUAAACUAAGAACAUCUUAAUGAUAUAAUAACAUCGAGUUUCAUAAUUAUUCCCUCCGAUUUUAUGUAUAAGAAAAAUUUGAGACCGGAGGAGGUACUAUUAAAAAAUGAUUCCUAAAAUGUUAUGUAAUAUUUUUGCAACUCAUACACGUUUUGUUUGAAUGAUACAAAAUUAUUCAACUCAUAUUUUUUUUUGUCUUAGAUGAAGUGGUAAUCCAUUGAAAUUAAACUCACAUAUAAUUGUAAGAUCCCGGGUUCGAACCCGGGUUAGGACGUUCGGCCUAACAAUUUCAAUAUUUUUAUCGGUUGAGCUAGGACUUAUGGGACCAACUCAUAUUUAUAUAUAGAAAAUAUUAAUAUAUUCCACUAAAUAAUUCAAUAUUAUGUAAAAAAGAAAUUAUUAAAUUGAUAAUAAAGUACUUGGAUCGUUUUUUGGAUAUUCUCUUUGUCACGUGUCAUAUGUUUGCUCCAACACUUUUAUAUAUAAAGUUUUUGGCACUUUUUCUAAGAACUUUGCUAUUGCUGUUGAUUUCUUUCUGUUACGUGGAUUAGACUUUUAGUAUCUACAAUGAAGAUACUCAUUUUUUUAGUACUGUACUUCACAUGUACACAUAAUUUAUUUAUAAUUUUUUAAUUAAUAAUACUUAAUAAGUACUCAAUCCUCCAACUCAAAUCUCUUAAAAAUUUUUAAAUGAGUUUCACCAAUAAUAUAUUUCACCAAUAAUUAUAAAUCAUUAUAAAUGUGACUCACAAAAAUAAAAUAGGUUCUUAUUAUAAAACCAGUACAUAUUAGGUACUCUUUGUGCUUUGCUCCAAUGGGGAUACCUAUUAAGUACUAAUACUUAAAAAAAUAAGUACCCACCACCGGAUGAGAUGUUCUAAAUGUUUUCUUAUUCCUUUACUUCUUUCAUCACCAUGGCCACCCAAAAAAAUUAUGACUAUACUACUUCUUGAAUUAACUAAAUUCGAACUUAACAAUGCUCGAAAUAAAUCUUAGAAUUGGGAGUUCGGGCUUAAUUCAUCCCUUCAAAAUCGGUUUGGUUUGUAAGGUAAUGAUUGUCUGUGACCCGAUAGCGAAUACAUAAUAGCAGGUGGCCCAACAGAUCUUCGAGGAUCGAGAAGCUCUGAUACCAUUUUAGAAUUGAGAGUUGGACGUAACUCGCCCUUACAAAAUCGACUUAUAAAGUGAAAAUUGCCUCUAAUUUAUAAACCUUUGUUCAGACCAUCUCACAUCCAAUAUGAGACUUCCUAACAACAAAGGGUCUUGUUAACACGUGCAUAUAGGGCACAUGUUAAAGUACCUUAAUAUAGAAAUUUAACAUUUAAUGAUACAAAAAAUUAAUGCUUGAAAAGUUAAAAUGCACGUAUUCUAAAGCAUAAUUUCUAUUUUUGAUUCUUUAACAUGUGUCAUAUAUGCACAUGUUAAUAAAAAAUUAUUCAAAAAUUGUGGCAAGAUGUUGUGUUACACACUUAGUAUUGGUUUUGUAAUUCAAACUCAGAACCUGUUCAUCCUCUGAAGCUGUAGAGCCUCUGAAGUGCUUCAGCCUCUGAAAUAAAAUAUAACCUCUGAACCUCGUAGCCUCUGAAGCUGAUAUAAGUUCUGAAGAAUAUGAAGCUCUGAAGCUCUGUUUUGGUUCAGUUACGUUUCUGUUAGUUUUAGCAGCUAAUUAGUUAUUGUUAGUUGUAAUUCAGUUAGUUAGUAGUUACAACUGACAUAGUUUGUUGAGUCGGUUAGUUACACUUUUGUGUAUAUAUACACUUGUAAUAUCUCAUUUGUAAAUAAUUCAAUAGAAUAAGAUUUUUACUUUUCCUUUAAUCAAUUUCUACUUAUUCCAAAUUCAUUCUUCAUUCAUCUUUCAUUCUUCUAUGCUCUUUGUUUUGGGUUAAUCCCCAACAAAGUGGUAUCUAGAGCUUUCACGAUCCAAGGGAUCUUGAUUCAGAUCUUUCACCAAGAAAGAGAAUCAAAGGUUGUAGUGAUUCAAUCAUGGCUGGGAAGAGUAAUUUCCAUGCGAAUUUGCCAAUUCUUGAUGGAAAGAACUGGGAUACGUGGGUCAAACAAAUGAAGGUGAUAUUCAUUGUUCAAGAAGUGGAUGAACAAGCGAAUACAGUUUUUGAUCCAUUACCAGCAAAUGCAACAGCAAAACAGAGAACAACGUUCAGAGAAGCACUGAAGAAAGAUAGCAAGGCUCUAUUUCUCAUUCAUCAAUGUGUUGAUGCCAAGGUAUUUGAGAAGAUUGCAGAUUUCACAACUUCCAAGGAGGCUUAGGACACUUUACAGAAGAGAUAUGGUGGUGAUGCAAAUGUCAAGAAAGUGAAAUUGCAAGCCUUGAAGAGACAAUAUGAACUGCUGGAGAUGAAGAAUGAUGAGACAAUUGCAGAUUACUUCACGAGAGUGGUGACUCUCACUAAUCAGAUGAAGAAUUGUGGAAGUAAUCUUGUUGAACAAGAAACAGUGGAAAAUGUACUUAGAACAUGUUCAUCCUCUGAAGCUGUAGAGCCUCUGAAGUGCUUCAGCCUCUGAAGCAAAAUAUAUAACCUCUGAACCUCGUAGCCUCUGAAGCUGAUAUAAGUUAUGAAGCAUAUGAAACUCUGUUUUGGUUCAGUUACGUUUCUGUUAGUUUUAGCAGCUAGUUAGUUAUUGUUAGUUGUAAUUCAGUUAGUUAGUAGUUACAACUGACAUAGUUUGUUGAGUCGGUUAGUUACACCUUUGUGUAUAUAUACACUUGUAAUAUCUCAUUUGUAAAUAAUUCAUUAGAAUAAGAUUUUUAGUUUUCCUUUAUUCAAUUUCUGCUUAUUCUAAAUUCAUUCUUCAUUCAUCUUUCAUUUUUCUGUGCUCUUUGUUUUGGGUUAAUCCCAACAGUUAGAACAUUAGUGGCUCGGGAUACAAAAGAUGUUAGAGCCAUGUAAAAUAUUAACUAGCUAGUAACAUUUUCAAAAUAUAAAAAAUGUUAAUUUCAAUAUAAAACUUUCUUCUUUUUUUUAACACUAGUUAUCUGCUGCUCUUAUGGAAGUACUCCGACACUGGAGAAAGUAGUUUAAUUUGUCGAUAUAAUUUGCAUGUGGAGACUUCAUUCUUAUGAAUAAGACUUAUGCUUACAAUUUGCUAAAUUGGUCAUACUUUUCACUGGACUCCUGGUCUAUCUACAUGAAUUAACAUAUGCACAAUUCUGAAAAUCUGGUAAUGUUGUAAGCUGAAAGGUUUUUCUGUUGACAGUAAAUAAUUUUGAGACUCUAAGUUGUUUACAUAUUGGAUGCAACAAACAAGUGACGGAAAUUGUUAAAAUAUAUGAAAAUGUUUAUAAUAUCUUGAUAUUAUGCUAUAGUAUUCUAGUUUACUUCAUAUGGUUAGUUUCUUAAAUUAUACGAGACUCGGUUCAGAAUCACAAAACACAUAUGUGCUUUUGAUGCAGCAACAACAAAUGAAUUGGUUGUCAUGCAUGUCAAACUUGUCUUGCAAUUUAAUCCAUAUGAAGUAAACUGAAGAGAUAUGGACCUGACUUUGCUGGCUUGCAAAAUAAUUUUGGACAUUUAAUUUCUUUUUUGGUAAAAAAAAAAUGAAAACACAAUUCAAAUUCAUGUUGAAAGAGGCGUAACGGGAUACCCGAACCUCGUUGGGGAUACCCGAUCCCCAACGGUAUGAGUUUGGAGUUAUACAUUUUAUCCCCGCUCGGAAUUGGGAUGAGUUUGGGAAAACCAGAAUUUUAUGGGUUUGGGUUUGGGGAGGGCAAUAUCCGUCCCCGCCCCACCCCAUUGCCAUGCCUACUCAAAACAAUUGAGAGGUUUUCUUCAAAUUGCAUUCCUACAAACGUAAAUCUAUCAUGUACUUACAGAGGCUUCAAAUAGGCAAGCACAAUAGGAUGAUAAAACUAUUACAACACCAUUGGUUCUCCAUGUACAUAGUCAGGCACAAUUCCAUUUUGUUGAACUUUCAACUCGCAAAAAUACCAAAAUGAAUUUGAACACCUAUGAUUGAUUCAACACAUAAGUAAAACCUUUAAGUUUCACUUUCAACCAAUACCAAACCACAGACUACAUUUUCUCAAUCAACCAGUUGAUUACCGCUCCUUACAACCUUGCAAACCGAUGACCUCUUAUCAUGGUUAUUACAACGUUUUUUAUUCAGGGUUAUAUCCAAUCCAAGUAAGUGUUCAGGAUAAUUAUGUGAAUAAUAAGUAAACAAUUUUCAUAAUUAAAAAUGACAAUUGUGUACCUUUUCUAUGAACAAUUGUUCAAUAGUUGUGUUAAGAUCACCUUUCCAUCUCUUCUUUCCUUCUUCCACUUCAAUUUCUGUCAGGUAUGGUGUUACUGUGACUCCUGAUGAGAAUAUCUUCAUUUGAGGGCACCCUUUAACAAUGAAAUCUUCUAAAGAUGGGAAUAUGAAUGCUUGUUUCCCAUGACAGAAGCUUCUAAAACUUGGCAAAGAAGACAAUUCCAAGUAUUCCAAGUUUUCAAAUAUGAUGUUUUCCUCUGCUUUUUCUUCAUCAAUCUGUUUCACAACAUCCAACAUCUUCUCACAAUUCAUUAUUUUUAAUGUUGUGAGUUGUACAAGACUUUUAGCUGUUGAGGAUGUUAUUAAAUAAGUAAGCUCUUUGCAAUUCUCCACUUUCAAAAUUGUUAAAUUUGUGAAACAUGUUGAUGAUGAUGGUACCAAGUUUAUCAAACUUGGACAACUUGAUACAUACAACCCUUCAAGAUAUUGCAGCAGAGGAUGAUCCAAUGAAAAGUCUUCCUGCCAGAUGUGCUUGAGAUUUUCCAAUUCAUAAAGCAUCAAGAUACUUAUUUGAUCUGGGAUCUGCGUGCUGAGAUGACCAUUACUAGGGAACAAUGUUUCAAAAGAACUAUUACGCACUUGAAAUGUUUUAAGAUUAGGAAAUGAUGUAAGGAUAUCAUUCAGAAAUAUAGUUGGAGUUUCAUCGANNNNNNNNNNNNNNNNNNNNNNNNCAACUUUAUGAAAGACAUUUUCUUGAUUCAAUAUCUCCAUCACAUCCGGGCCAUUUAUUGCCAAUUCCUCCAGGUUGGGGCUCAACUGAAAAACAAAUUAAUACUAGUUUAUGAGGUAAACUAAUCAAUUAAAUUAAACAUUCAAAAUUAAUACUUGUUUAUGAGGUUGGGGCUCAACUGGAAAAAAGUAUGGUUGGAUUUACCUUUUCAAUAGAAAAUAGAGCUUGUUGAGGUAUGAUGGGAUUUCCGCCUGCUGCGUUAGGCUGUUGGAAUGAAAACAUUCUUAAUGCUUCACAACGAUAUACAUUAAAAAUCUUCAAGGAAGGAGGGCACUCUAAAACAUACUUUCCCCGAUAGAAGCUCUUAAGGUUUGUCAAAAGAUAUAGUUUCAAUGUAUUCAGUUGGGGAAAAUUAAAAUUGAUUUCCAUCGAUCCUUCUUCCAUUUCUACAAUUUCCUCAACUCGGCAAGAGUCUAUCUUAAGCAUUUCAAGAUGUCUAAGAUCUUGGCAUAGUGACAAUGGAAAGAUAUAUAGCAAGCUUUGGCACUUAGAAACAUCCACAUUGCAUAAGU